CCUACGGGAGGCAGCAGUGAGGAAUAUUGGUCAAUGGUCGUAAGCCUGAACCAGCCAAGCCGCGUGAGGGAUGAAGGUUCAGCGUAUCGUAACCCUCUUUUGUAAGGGAACAAAGGGGGGGACUAGUCCCCGAAUGAGGGUACCUUAAGAACAAGCAUCGGCUAACUCCGUGCCAGCAGCCGCGGUAAUACGGAGGAUCCGAGCGUUAUCCGGAUUUUAUGGGUUUAAAGGGUGCGCAGGCGGCCUUGUAAGGCAGCGGUGAAAGGCCGGGGGUCAACCCCGGGCGGGCCGUUGAACCUGGGGGGCUGGAGGUGGAGAGAAGUAGGCGGAAUGCGUGGUGUAGCGGUGAAAUGCUUAGAUAUCGCGCAGAACCCCGAUUGCGAAGGCAGCCUGCCGG
rnacentral:rRNA from 1 species